rnacentral:rRNA from 1 species
AACGAACGCUGGCGGCAUGCCUAACACAUGCAAGUCGAACGAGACCUUCGGGUCUAGUGGCGCACGGGGGCGUAACGCGUGGGAACCUGCCCUUAGGUUCGGAAUAACUCCCCGAAAGGGGUGCUAAUACCGGAUAAUGUCUUCGGACCAAAGAUUUAUCGCCUUUGGAUGGGCCCGCGUUGGAUUAGCUAGUUGGUAGGGUAAAAGCCUACCAAGGCGACGAUCCAUAGCUGGUCUGAGAGGAUGAUCAGCCACACUGGGACUGAGACACGGCCCAGACUCCUACGGGAGGCAGCAGUGGGGAAUAUUGGACGCUGGGCGCAAGCCUGAUCCAGCAAUGCCGCGUGAGUGAUGAAGGCCUUAGGGUUGUAAAGCUCUUUUACCCGAGAUGAUAAUGACAGUACCGGGAGAAUAAGCUCCGGCUAACUCCGUG